UGCGUAGGCGGCGCGGUAAGUCGGGUGUGAAAUCUCGGAGCUUAACUCCGAAACUGCAUUCGAUACUGCCGUGCUUGAGGACUGGAGAGGAGACUGGAAUUUACGGUGUAGCGGUGAAAUGCGUAGAUAUCGUAAGGAAGACCAGUGGCGAAGGCGGGUCUCUGGACAGUUCCUGACGCUGAGGCACGAAGGCCAGGGGGAGCAAACG
rnacentral:rRNA from 1 species